rnacentral:lncRNA from 10 species
AACUGCUUCUUGCUGCCGCCAUAUGAAGAAGGACGUGUUCGCUUCCCCUUCCUCCAUGAUUGUAAGUUUCCUGAGACCUCGCCAGCCAUGCUGAACUAGUGAACAGGAAACCUACAGAAUAGGAGAAAAUUUUUGCAAUCUACUCAUCUGACAAAAGGCUAAUAUCCAGAAUCUACAAAGAACUCAAACAAAUUUACAAGCACAAAACGAACAACCCCAUCAACAAGUGGGCAAAGGACAUGAACAGACACUUCUCAAAAGAAGACAUUUAUGCAGCCAACAGACACAUGAAAAAAUGCUCAUCAUCACUGCCCAGCUAAAUCUUGACUUCUAUUGAAGAAGUGAAGGAUGGAUUUUGUAAGCCUACCAGCAGCCAAAGGAGACUAAGAGGAGUCAUUCAGGAAUAUGAGGGUUAUGAAGACAGUGGUGUCCCAGAAACCAAGGAGAAGAGGAUGUUGCAUGAAGAAGGAGAUGAUGGUUUCACUUUGGUUACAUUUAUCCAAAUGCCCCGUCCAACUCUUCAGUGUCCCUAGUAAAAUCUGGUAUAGAGAUGGACACUGUUUUUUAGGUGAGGCCUGCUGAGUGUGGAGAGUUGUGAAAAAUUUUUCCCUUAAAUUGAGAAUGUUUUAAAUAAUGCAGCCUAUGUUUUCUUUAAGUAACAAGGCCAUCCCACUGACUCACACUGAUCUUGUUCUCAGCAAAAAACUCCCUGCUCUUCCUCAUAUUAAUUGCCAUAAAAACAAGUCACUUCUAUCAUGCAUUUGGCUCAUUGAGUUAUGAAAAUAUGUAGGUAUUUCGUUUCUUUUUAUGUAAAUUUAUGCUGGUUUUAGUCCAUCAUUUGA